GCAGACUUUGGAUAGCUCAGCUGGUUAUAGCGUGGUGUUGAUAAUGCCAAGGAUGCUGGUUCAAUCCCUGUAUGGGGCAAUUGCA